rnacentral:rRNA from 1 species
UGCAUAUCAAUUAAGCGGAGGAAAAGAAACUAACUAGGAUUCCCUUAGUAACGGCGAGUGAACCGGGAUGAGCUCAAAUUUGAAAUCUGGCGUCUUUCAGGCGUCCGAGUUGUAAUCUAUAGAGGCGUUUUCCGCGCCGGACCGCGUCCAAGUCUCUUGGAAUAGAGUAUCAAAGAGGGUGACAAUCCCGUACUUGACGCGACAACCGGUGCUCUGUGAUACGUUCUCAAUGAGUCGAGUUGUUUGGGAAUGCAGCUCUAAAUGGGUGGUAAAUUCCAUCUAAGGCUAAAUAUUGGCGAGAGACCGAUAGCGAACAAGUACCGUGAGGGAAAGAUGAAAAGCACUUUGGAAAGAGAGUUAAACAGCACGUGAAAUUGUUAAAAGGGAAACGAUUGAAGUCAGUCGUGUGAGGGGUAUUCAGCCGUCUCUGGCGGUGUAUUUGCCUCUCACGGGUCAACAUCAGUUUGAUCCGGUAGAAAAAGGCGGGAGGAAGGUGGCACCCUCGGGUGUGUUAUAGCCUCCUGUCAUAUGUGCCGGACCAGACUGAGGAACGCAGCUUGCAGCAAUGCCGGGAUUCGUCCACGUACAAGCUUAGGAUGUUGACAUAAUGGCUUUAAACGACCCGUCUUGAAACACGGACCA